rnacentral:rRNA from 1 species
AUGUAAUAAGGGAAAAUAAUGAUAGUACCUUACAUAUAGUGUUGUCAAAAUCUGGUGCCAGAAGACUCGGUAAGGCCAGAAACACAAACGUUAAUCCUCAUUUACAGGCGUAAAGGGUUUGUAGGCAGCUUUUUUAAAAAGAAUUAAUUAUUACAAAAAUUAUAAUAAUAAUAAUAAUAAUAAUAAUUUAUUCUUUUUUUAGAGCUAGAAUCAAAAAGAAGUUAAAACGUAUAAUACUUAGAGAAGGGUUAAUAUCCAUAGAUUCUAGGGGGAAUACUAUCGGUGUAAACAACUAACUAUAAAUGAUUGACGCUGAGAGACGAAGGGGAGGAUAGGAAACAGGAUUAGGUACCCAGGUACCCCUCUCUGUAAACGAUGAAUGGUAGUUAUUAGUAUAAAUUAGUAGCGAUGUUAACGCGUUAACCAUUCCGCCUUGGGAGUACGACUGCAAAGUUGAAAACAAAAAAAUUAGUCGGUCUCGAAGCAAACGGAGUGAAG